rnacentral:tRNA from 1 species
GAGAGAGGCGCGACCGCAACGAAUACUGCUAAUUUUCGCCACCCGGUUAAAAUCCAGGGCUCACUCG